UGUGUGUGUGUGUGUGUGUGUGUGUGUGUGCGCGCGCAUGCGUGUGCUUCACUUUUUUGCUUGUUUUUGUUGAUGGUCUCGUGUCCAUACUUGCACUGUAUUCUUAUUUCUAUUCAUGAUUUGUUCUAUUAAUGUGUACGCUCUUUUUAACGUGACGCCCUGUGGGCUCACUUGUCAUGAAAGGUGCUGUUGGGAUAAACUGACGUUGACAUUCAGUUUCAGGGUUAAAAAAGAAAAGAAAAGAGAAGAGGGCCCAUCCCUGUGCUGUUUACCAAAGUCUCGUUUCCACUCCCUCCCUCCCAGUGGCGCAUUUGGCCCGAGAGGAGCGCGGACGUGGUGGCUCGGCCUCCAUUCACCUCUUUACUAAAAAGAAAAAGGAAAGGAAAAGAAAAGAGGGGACGACGAUGGGCGACGUGUACCAGUAUCCGGUGUUCCUCCAGUGCGGCCGGCGGCUGAGCGCGCAGCAGCGCAGGGCCGUGGAGAGACACUUCUCCCUGCGCCGCAGGUCCAGCGGAGGAGACUGCGGGCCCCUGGCGCGCGCGGGGCCCGCGGGCUACAGCCUGGCGUUCAGAAGUCAAACAGAUCAGCAGCGUGUCCUGCAGAGAUGUGAGCAUGUUGUGGAGCUUGCAGAUGGGCCUCUGAUGCUUACUGUCCAUGGCAGCCUGGAAUCUCACAACUCCUCUUCCAUCGCAGCCUCCACUCCGAGCCAGGAGUCAACAGCUCCAGCACAGAGCCCACAGUCUACACCUGCCUCAAUUCCUCCACCAGGUGGUGAAGAAUAUGAACUACGCCCUGAUACCUACAUCCUUUGUUACCUUAAGGAAUGUCCGAAGGUUUGGCAAGACCUAGAGGCAGAACUUGUCUCGAUGGCCUGCUCUGCUCAGCUUUACCCAGAGGAGGAGAGGGUUUUAGUCAGGAGACUAGCUCAGCCAGGCGCUGCAGAUGAAGGUAGAAAUUGGAAAGCUGACGUAGACAAAGUCUUUGAUGGCUACCUGUGCCACUUUGAGGUGGACCCUCACAAAACCAAAGCUUUGCGUCAGUCCUGCAGCUCUCAUCAGGCCACAGAUGGGGUGAAGGUGUACGGGGAAAUGGGGAUUGCCGUUGUGGUGGGGAAACAUUCUCAGGUUAAAGCCAGGUUGAUGGAGGUAGAGGACUUGACUGUUAAACACCGAAGGUCCCAUUCGAAUGAAAAGCUAACCAGCAUUUGUCGUUUGGGCGAGGCCAAACUUCGCCUCCUCUGGAGACAGAUUGAGCAGGGUGUGGGGCAACGUUUCCCAGGAGUUGAGGUCACGAGGAGAGAUGUAGGUCAGGUAGCAUUGGAAGGUUCUGUAAAGGACGUUCUUGAAGCUGUCGAUUGGAUCUCUGAUAAGGAGAAUCUGGUGUCUGAAAGAACAGUUGGUAACUUGAGGCCACAUCUUUUGGCCUUCCUAAGGAAGGCCUAUGGAGGCCCAGGGGAGCUGCGGGACUUUUUAGGGGUCGACGACGAUAUGGAAAUAGAGCUACAGGACACAGAGCUACGAUUGUUCUCCCUAUCUGCUUAUAAACUGGAUGAGGCUGAAGAAGCCCUGCAGCGCGAGUUCAGGGAAAUGAAGGUUGAUGUUCCUGAUUGCCCCGCUUUGUCCUCUGAGCUCAUGUCCAAAACAUAUGAGAUGAACCAAGUGCAAUUUAGGGCCCAGGUCCUGUUUGACUCAAGUAGCACAGUGUGCUUACUGGGUCACACCAAAGAGGUUGAAGAACUGAGGGAAACUAUCACUCAGUUGAUUUUGCAGAGCACAGAGGAUUUUGGGCUGGCACAAGAGUUAUCAGAAUUUCUGCAGCUGCAACCAGCUGCAACCAGCUGACCUUUCAGAGGUGACGGAGGUCAUGAGCCUGCUGAGUCCAUUUGUAGACUCCCUUGUUCAGGCCUUGAGUUUGAAGGAUGAAAACACGGUGGUUGCCAGCUACAGCCUUUGUGACGGGCUCCAGGUGGAGGUAUGUCAGGAUGAUGUCACCAAACAGAAGGCGGAUACGCCGGUUAACACUGCCAAUGAAGAUCUGGGCAACUGUGGAGGUGUUGCCGCUGCGGGGAGUAAAGAGAGUCCUGAAUCACAGAGGGAGAGCAGUACCUUGAAAGAGUGGACAGGUGACAAGGAAGUGACCACAGUGGGAAACUUACUCUGCGAGAAACUGCUGCAUGAUAGUGGAGCUAUAGCUGGAGAGACGGGUGGCAGAGUAGGGUUCUUGCUGGAGAAAACUGUCCAGUUCACUCUGAAUAUGGCCGAAAUGAUGGAGAUCAAGUAUCUAGCUUUACCCUGUACCGUCUCAGGUGGGUCUGGUGUUUCUGUGUGCUCCGAGGCUAUCGUGACCGCUGUUGAAGAGUUUGGUAGUCAAGGAGGGCGGGGGCUGAGACGAAUCGCCCUGGUUGAUAACAGAGCAGAGGUGGUGAGGGCCAUGCAGGACGCAUGUGACCGGCUUCUCCAAGGAGGCACCGGAUACAGUCCGCCUAGUGACCUGGGGCUCCUGACGGAUGCCGCUGCCCAAGAAACAGCAAGCGGAGCCACCGUUGGACCUCCUGGAGACGGUGUCCAUGUUGAGACUGUUCAGGCAACCAUUGAGAGCCAGCAGGUGGAUGCCGUGGUGUCGCCCAUGUUUGGACACAAUCCUCUCUCCACCCGCGUUGGCAACACUUUGUCCAAAAUAGUCGGAUCCCAGUUGACGGCAAUGUUUACAAAGGAGUCGGAAGAGGGAACGACGCCUGGUGAUGCAGUUCUGGUGGAGGGCUUCACUGGACUUCCAUCGAAUGCAGUGAUCUUCCUCAACCUGGUUCCCUGGGAUGAUGAAGAAGAUGGAACGGCAGUUCAGGUUAUGAGACUGGGCAUCAACGCAAUCCUAACUGCCUGUGACAAUAGGGGGUUUGGAUCUGUUGCUCUCCCGGUACUCGGGGCUGGGCUUGCCUUGGGUUUUCCCAACAGCGUGGUAGCUCGGGUUCUGCAGGAGCAGGUCCACGCAUUCAAACAGAACCGAGCAAGUAGGACGCCUUUCCUGGUCCGAAUAGUUAUCCACCCCAGUGACACAGAGGCCAGCGAGGUCUUCAGAGGAUUCAUGAAAGACGAAGACUUGGCCACAAUGAGGAUCGUCUUGCUGGGAAAAAGUGGGUCUGGAAAGAGCACCCUAGCGAACUGCAUAUUUGGGAGCGAGGAAUUGUUCGCCACAAGCCUUUCUCCUAAUUCUGUGACUAGUCAAUGUCAAGCGGAGACCAGACUCGUCAAUGGAAGGAGCAUCACUUUGAUCGACACCCCUGGGUUUUUCGAUUCGCACAGGCCUGAGGAGGACAUUAAGUCCGAGAUGGCAAGGUGUAUCACAGAGUGCGCUCCUGGGCCGCACGCUUUUCUCAUUGUGCUUCAGGUGGAUAGGUUCACCAGUCAGGAGCAGGCCGUCAUCGCCAAAAUCCGCCAGUAUUUUUCGGACGAUGCUCUGAAACACGCUGUAGUUGUCUUCACGCAUGGCGACCAGCUCGCUGAAGGCAGCCAAAUUGAGGAUUUUGUCGGCCAGAAUGAGGACCUCAGUGAUCUGGUGCGCAAGUGCGGCGGCCGGUGCCACGUCUUCGACAACAAAUACUGGAAGAACAAGCGGGAGGAUGACUACAGGAGCAACCGGUUCCAGGCGGAGGUCCUUCUGAAAACAAUAGACAAGAUGGUGAUGGACAAUAAGGGCGGCUACUACACCAACGAGAAGCUGCAGGCAGUGAGGGCAGAAAUAAAGAGAGAGGAGGAGCGCAUAAGGCACGCCCGAGGAAACAUGUCACGGUCCGAGAUCAGACAACGUGCCAUAAUAAAUGUGUCUAACAGGCUUUUGAUCCAGCUGGCAGGAACUGCAACAGGAGCAGUGCUCGGAGCUUUCUUUGGCCUGGCACUGAUGGUGGGAUUUGAUAUCACCGCUAUGAAUAGUCUUUCGCAGCUCUCCAAACUGAAAGGUAUUCCCGCGGCAGGAAAGGGAGUCGCAGCGGCGGUAGGAGUCGGAGAAGUGGCGGUAAUCGGUACCGGAGUGGUGGCAGCCGCAGGAGGACUGUUUGGAGGUUGUGUUGGAUAUGCGGCGGCUCAGGGAGCCAGAACCCCCCAGGAGGCUGCAAUGAAGGCGGCCACUGCGGUCUUUGACAAAAGCAAAGCUUUCAACAGAAAGUAACAGAGUACUGUUACCAGGUGGCAGUGGAACCUUUGGACAUCGGGACAUCAUCUCCCCCUCAGCUGCUGAAUGUUGGGCGGGGCUUGUGGCUUACAGUGUUUGGUUGUCCUCUUCCUGUGUCCAUGUUUUCUUCUUCCAGAGGAUUUUGUUCUCACAUUAAAAACAUUUUCGGUGCGAAAAA